rnacentral:rRNA from 1 species
UACGGAGGGUGCGAGCGUUGCCCGGAAUCACUGGGCGUAAAGGGCGCGUAGGCGGCCUGAUAAGUAGGGGGUGAAAUCCUGCGGCUUAACCGCAGGGCUGCCUUCUAAACUGUCAGGCUCGAGCACAGUAGAGGCAGGUGGAAUUCCCGGUGUAGCGGUGGAAUGCGUAGAGAUCGGGAAGAACAUCAGUGGCGAAGGCGGCCUGUUGGGCUGUUGCUGACGCUGAGGAGCGAAAGCCAGGGGAGCAAACGGG